rnacentral:misc_RNA from 1 species
GAUGAAGAACGUAGCAAAAUGCGAUACUUGGUGUGAAUUGCAGAAUCCCGUGAACCAUCGAGUUUUUGAACGCAAGUUGCGCCCGAAACCAUCCGGUUGAGGGCACGCCUGCCUGGGCGUCACGCAUCGCGUCGUCCCCCAACAUACUCUCCCUUUCUGGGUUGUCAUGUUGAUUGGGGACGGAGAUUGGCCUCCCGUGCUUCUGGUGCGGUUGGCCUAAAUAGGAGGCCCCUUCGGUGGAUACACAGCUAGUGGUGGUUGUUAAGACCCUCGUAUUGUGCUGUGUGUUGUGAGCUGUUAGGGAAACCCUCACCAAAGACCCUAUUGUAUCGUCUUGGUACGAUGCUUCGACCGCGACCCCAGGUCAGGCGGGACUACCCGCUGAGUUUAAGCAUAUCAAUAAGCGGAGGA